UACGUAGUUAGCCGUGGCUUUCUCACAGAGUACCGUCACUUUCUUCUUCCUCUGCGACAGAAGUUUACAACCCGAAGGCCGUCAUCCUUCACGCGGCGUUGCUGCGUCAGGGUUUCCCCCAUUGCGCAAUAUUCCCCACUGCUGCCUCCCGUAGGAGUCUGGGCCGUGUCUCAGUCCCAAUGUGGCCGAUCAACCUCUCAGUUCGGCUACUGAUCGUCGACUAGGUGGGCCGUUACCCCGCCUACUAUCUAAUCAGACGCGAGUCCAUCUGUAAGCGAUAAAUCUUUCAAAGCUUCCCCAUGCGGAAAAACCUUCAAUAUGCGGUAUUAGCACAGAUUUCUCUGUGUUAUCCCCCGUCUUACAGGCAGGUUACUCACGCGUUACUCACCCGUCCGCCGCUCUCCACAAAAGCUUCACCCCGAAGGGAUCAGUCUCUUGUUUCCCGCUCGACUUGCAUGUGUUAGGCACGCCGCCAGCGUGUCCUGAGCCGAGAGUCAAACUC
rnacentral:rRNA from 1 species